GGCUUGGUAGCACACGGUGUGCAUCUACUGUACUUUCGUUUUCCAGUUUUUCAAAAAAUGCGAUGUAGACGACGCUCGUUCGACUCGGGCCCAAGCCA